CCAAUGUCCAGUUGUCUAAAGGAAUGUUUUCCUAAUUUAUUGUCACAAGGAUCUCUCACGCUUUACCAGAUCCGUUAUUUCUGUCUAUUUUGUUGCUUCACCCACACAGCUGCGCACUUCUGGACUUGGAUCUGGAAACUUGCCAAUCUCUGCCACGUGCUUGCUUCUAGAAUUCACUUUGUAGCUUGUGCUUUUUCUCAGUUGCAGAAAAUAAUCUUGUACAGUCUAUUUGUUUUGAAAACCUUCUUUUUCUUACAAACACAUAGUUCUUCACGCAGUUCUUUUUCUGUGCAAAUAUUCUUAGUCUCUGUGACAUAGUCUACAUUCUUUUUUUCUUUUCAAGUUUGAUUUCCCAGUUCCAAAACUCAGCUUUGUAACUCG